GAGAAGGAGGAAGGAGGAGAGAAUAGUGCCAGAGCCAGAAUCAAGAGGCAGAUGAUUAAUUUGUACGAAGAAAACACGUAAUUUCAUUUGCAAGUAGCCGCCGAGCACUCUUCAAGCUUAGAAGGAACGUGUGACGGCCUGGACAUGCCCAACGUGCUCCUCAACUCGUCCGAGAACACGAUGAAAAGUCGGAAACAGCCGGCUAACAGUAGAGGGCGACUGCUGUCUCCCGACCAGCAAGUCAAGAGAGCUCGACUCCAUGCCCCACCUCUAGCAGAUCCUUGCGACAAUUCCAAUGACUCUGGGUUUGGUGUUGAUUUUCUUGAGGAUGAAUCUCUUUGCGGAAUUCCCCGACCGACGACAUCUGACAACAGCAUUUCCUUGGUUGUUCUUUCCCAGCCAGAAAGUCAGCACAGAGCUCGAUAUCAAACUGAGGGCAGCAGAGGCGCAGUCAAAGAUGCGAGUGGCCAAGGCCACCCGGUGGUUAAGCUUGAAGGAUAUGACGGACCAGCAACAUUGCAAGUGUUCAUUGGUGUCGAUGAUGAGCACUCUGUGAACCCCCACUUGUUCUAUCAAGCGUGCAGAGUGAGUGGAAAAACGGCAAGCCCGUGUGUGGAGAACUGCGUUGCUGGAACGAAAGUUCUGGAACUCACAUUCUGCAAGGAAAAUCAAUUUAAAGUUAUUUGUGACUGUGUUGGAAUUCUAAAGCAACGGAAUGUUGAUGUGGCGCAAAGAGUUGAAAAUUCUGGGGCCCAAAAAUCCAGGAAGAAGAACACAAGGUGUCGGCUAGUUUUCCGGACUCGAGUCGAGCUGCCAAAUGGAAUGACUGAGACUCUGCAAGUGAUGUCAAAUUCAAUUGCAUGCACACAACUUCCUGGUAUGCCAGAAAUACUCAAAGUGUCAAAGACGUCAGCACCAUUUACUGGUGGAAAAGAACUGUUUGUGCUUGGCAAAAAUUUUCUCAAAGACACCAGGGUGAUAUUUCAGGGGAAUGGUUGGAAUCAUGAAGUAGUUCCUGACAAAGAAUACUUGCAACCGACUCACUUGGUGUGCACUAUUCCGCCAUAUUCAGGUCCUUCAACUGUAUCUGAGACUGUAGAGAUGUAUGUUCGAUCAAAUAAUCGUCAAAGUGAGGCCAUCCAAUUCACUUAUAAUUUACCAGCCAUCAAGACACCAAGCUGAAUGCGGAAGCAACGAGAAAUAUGCAUCUUCUUAAGUCAGCCCCGAGGACAACAAUUCUGGUGAAGUAUCAAACAUAUUCGCAACAGCGCCCUUCGCCACAAAUUUCUUAACUACUUUAUUUCUCCAAUGUGGCGCAGGGGUAGCUUCAUAUUUCAAAGACCACAACCUGCAAGGCUGCCCUUUUGACGGGACGGACAAGUAAUUAACUCGUAAUGAUUUAGAAGGGGCCUAGCAGGUUGAGUGGAAAUUGGCCUAUGAUUGUGGAUUGGCUUCAUGGACUAAUUUCAAAAUGACGGAAAAGCAGGUUUUCACUAUGUUGCAGGCAUUGGCAUCAGUGCCUUAGCGUUCAGUUUUAUGGAAAACCUACUUUGAGCGAGUGAAAAGUGUGGCUUAUUAUUUAUUUAUACAUGGCUCUGGAACAGUGGAGUGAUUCGGGGGGAGGGGGGAGUCGAAAAAUUUCCUGCGGUUCACCACACCUGCAAUCCAAAAUUUGAUCAAUCUUGUGUUCAAACUUAUCUUCUCUUGUGGUGUGUGGGAAAUUUUAAGUCAGCCAUUCAGACUUUCCGCGUUACUUUGUAACAAGCAAGCUCAAGCUCACUUGAAAGAUAUGAAUUAAUUUUUGGAAAGUUUGUUUCUGUAUCUCUGCCUCACCCAAGCAUACUGUGAACUUAAUAGAAAGUACUUAAGUUUUGCCAAAAGUAAUGGGUGGACGCUGAGUGACGGUGGCUGUUGCGAAUGGCAGUACAGACUGCAGGGAGCAUGUGCACAAAAUUACCCAGAGCUGAGGAAAUGAAUGCUCACCUCCCAAACUUUUGACCCUUGCAUUUGAGCUCCUUUCAGUCUGUCGGAGAAAAUGAAUGAAUGAAUGUAGACUUUUCCAUAGCCAUGUUUUUAAUCAAACAUCCCUCCAGUGCCAGUUUUCUAAUAACAAUUUUUAUCCCCAGAUGGCAGAUGGGGACAACAGACUGCGCAGCCACCCCCAGAAAACAACGUUGCUGACCUGUUGCAAGACCUCAUGACCACUGAGACUUUGCCUACUCAGAGUGUUUCGAGUGUUGAGAAAUUUCUUCACGACAUAGAGCAACAACCAGCACCCG